AAAGCCUUAGCUUAAUGGUAGAGUACCGGUUUGUCAAGCCGGGUGGUGCGGGUUCGAUUCCCGUAGGCUCCG
rnacentral:tRNA from 1 species